rnacentral:tRNA from 1 species
GCGCCUUUAGCUCAGUUGGUAGAGCAGCUGACUCUUAAUCAGCGGGUCCACGGUUCGAGCCCGUGAGGGCGCAC